rnacentral:lncRNA from 1 species
CUCCGACUAGGUGUAUCUUUUUAUUUUUACGAAUGAAAUUCACUUGUAUCGUCGAAUUUUUAAAUGAACCUUCUCCACUUGACUUUUGAAUCUGUAUCCACCACUGUAUGUGCUCUAGGAAGAGGGGUGUAUAUACACCCGACCAGGGAUAUGGGAGUCCCUCUCUCCUAAUGUGAAGCCCUGUUCUCUUGAAUGAUUUGUAGAGGCCUUUCGAAUGAAAAUUUUGUGGGAGAGAGAGAGAGAGUGGUGGCUGACUGUGUGUGUGGGGGCCUUGUUGGUGAAAGUGUAUUUGCCUCUUUUUCUCUCAAAUGUAUGCAAUUUGUAUUGGAUAUUGUCUUUGUGAUUCACUCCUUUCCUAUUGCUAUUUUAGCAUUCCUUAUAUAUAUGCAUGAAAUGAUGCAUCUGCUUUAUUCAAAAAAGUGAAUCUUUUUCUUUCUUUUCCUCUUUGAUUGGCCAUUUACUCUAUUGUUUUCUUUUUCAAUCAUAGGAAAGAAAACUAAUGUGAAAACGAAGUUGUCCGUUUUUCACCGAUUUAGCCAUACGCAAUUUUCGGUUGGUGGCUGACUGUAGUUGAUUUUGUCCAACUGUUUCCUAGUUUCUAGGUAGUUAGGCCAAGGUGUGACAAUGUUG